rnacentral:rRNA from 1 species
CGGCGUGCCUAAUACAUGGCCAAGGUUCCGAAACGCAAUUUGUCGGGUUGAAAUGAUAUGAAGAACUUGUUCAGAUUUGAUUUCAACAUUGCAAUGAGUGGCGAACGGGUGAGUAACACGUGGGAAACCUACCUCUUAGCAGGGGAUAAACAUUUAGGAAACAAAUGCUAAUACCGUAUAAUAAUUAAAACCGCAUGGUUUAGUUUAAAAGAUGGUCUUGCUAUCACUAAGAGAUGGUCCCGCGGUGUAUUAGGUUAGUUGGUGAGGUAAUGGCUCACCAAGACAAUGAUACAUAGCCGAGUUGAGAGACUGACCGGCCACAAUGGGACUGAGACACGGCCCAUACUCCUACGGGAGGCAGCAGUAGGGAAUCUUCCACAAUGGACGAAAGUCUGAUGGAGCAACGCCGCGUGUGUGAUGAAGGGUUUCGGCUCGUAAAACACUGUUGUAAGAGAAGAAUGACAUUGAGAGUAACUGUUCAAUGUGUGACGGUAUCUUACCAGAAAGGAACGGCUAAAUACGUG